CAUGCGAAAUAGCUAGCCCACUGACCAAAUACAACAAACACCCAUCAAUAACCCCAAAUACACAACAACCCCACUAAACAAACCAUUUUUCCACCCUAGUAUAGGCGAUAGAAAAG
rnacentral:rRNA from 1 species